CGUUAGCGACAGGGGCGCUCGGGAAACCGGGCUGAGACGUACCCUUCGAACCUGAACCGGAUAAUGCCGGCGGAGGGAGGCGCACAGGGCAGACC
rnacentral:ncRNA from 2 species